rnacentral:rRNA from 1 species
UACGAGGGGGGCAAGCGUUGUUCGGAAUUAUUGGGCGUAAAGAGCUUGUAGGCGGUUUGUCGCGUCUGCUGUGAAAAUCCGGGGCUCAACCCCGGACUUGCAGUGGGUACGGGCAGACUGGAGUGUGGUAGGGGAGACUGGAAUUCCUGGUGUAGCGGUGGAAUGCGCAGAUAUCAGGAGGAACACCGAUGGCGAAGGCAGGUCUCUGGGCCACUACUGACGCUGAGAAGCGAAAGCAUGGGGAGCGAACAGG